rnacentral:rRNA from 1 species
UCCGUAGGGUGCGAGCGUUAUCCGGAAUCAUUGGGCGUAAAGAGCUCGUAGGCGGUUCAGCAAGUCGGCUGUGAAAGUCUGAGGCUCAACCUCAGAAUUGCAGUCGAUACUGCUGUGACUCGAGUCCGGUAGAGGAGAAUGGAAUUCCCGGUGUAGCGGUGAAAUGCGCAGAUAUCGGGAGGAACACCAGUAGCGAAGGCGGUUCUCUGGGCCGGCACUGACGCUGAGGAGCGAAAGCGUGGGGAGCAAACAGG